CCCUGGUGAUGCUGGCCACAUCAAGGUGGUGUCAGGGUCCAGUGCCCCGUCUCAUCGGGGGAAGCCAAGAGCCAG
rnacentral:ribozyme from 1 species